UUCUUCUCAUCUAAAGCUGUCUCUCCCUCUCCUGUCCCCUCCUUUGUCACGUCCUGUCCUGUGUCACGGGUGUCUGCAUAUAUUCAUCCCGGAGCUGCUCUGCCCUGCUGCAUAGCCUGUAACAGCCCAAGUCCUGGGGGCUUGAAAUUUGUAAUGCAGGGUGUAGUUUGGCUCUAGACUGGAUUAAGAGAUUGCCGUAACAUGUUUGGUACUGUUAAGUUUUUCUGCAGCUGUUUGACACUAGUCCUAACUUCCUUUCAGAUGCAGACAGUUCAAAUCUGUGGCAGUGGCUCCAGUCCUGGGUGAGGACCUUCCAAUGAGCAGGAGGUCCAGGCAGAUAGCAGCUGUCAAGGCCAAGUCUGCCAGGGAAUCCACUAGGAGUAUGCCAAGCCCCUAUCACCAGCUGGCUGAUGGACCAGGUUUCCUGCACUUAUGAGCCCUCUGGAAGUAUUA